UUUUUUUUUUUUGAGGAAGAUUAGCUCUGAGCUAACAUCUGCUGCCAAUCCUCCUCUUUUUUGCUGAGGAAGACUGGCCCUGAGCUAACAUCUGUGCCCAUCUUCCUCUGCUUUAUAUGUGAGACGCCUCCCACACCAUGGCUUGCCAAGCGAUGUGUAUGUCCGCACUCGGGGUCUGAACCAGCGAACCCUGGGCUGCUGAAGUGGAAUAUGUAAACUUAACCUCUGCACCACCAGGCUGGCCCCCAUAGAUUCUAAUAUUACCACAAGAUUGGAGAAUCACUGCUCUUGUUGUCAGAGUAUGUUGUUAAAGUAUAUUUACUGAAUUCAUCCUCAUUGUUUGUAUUAUUCCUUAACUAAAUAUAAUCUCAUUUAUAAUAGAAGGACAAAGUGGAUACUGCUAUGUAAGAAAAGUUUAGGCAUGAAAAACAAUUAUCACUCUUGCCCUAUAACCCUAAAAUUAAGGAAGAGAAAAGUUAUCAAGCACCUUUCACAUAAAUUGCUUAAUUUAAUCUUUACAACAACUCUGUUGUAUACCCUGGUUUUCUGAAUAUGUUACAGACAAAAAACUGAAGCUCAUAGAGUAAAUUGCCAAGUUCACACAGAUGUUAAACGUCAAAGCCAGGAUUCAGAGUCCCUACUCUUUCUACUAUAUCAUAUUAUUUUUUUCCCUUAAUUCAAGAAACCUUUACCGAGUUCCUAUUAUAUUAAGUGAUAAUGUCUAGCUUUGAGGGCAAAAAGUGUAUUAUACUGAUACGGUAUAAUACUUAUUGCUUACAUCAUGUAAAAGAAAUAGAAAUUCUUUUUCUUAUGUUUCCAUUGAGAAACAAUUUUUAGCUAGAGGUAGAAUUUAAGUCUUCUGGAUGGUCAGAAAGGGUCUAAGUAGUAAUAAUAAUUGUAAUCAUUGGACUGUUGUCUAUGGGAUCUCUUUUAACCCCCAUGCCUUUGCUAUGAGGCAUUUUUUAACUCAGUUUACAAAUAAGCCAGAUUUGGGAUGGUUAAGUGACUUACCCAAGGUUGCAGAGCAAGUAAGUGGCAGAACCAGAUUGAACUCUGGUUCAAUCUACUUUAACAGCAAAGUUAGUGUUCUUAACCACCCAUAUAUGCAGUUUCUAACUCUGCUUUACAGUUAACCUGUAGAAUCAGGCUGUUCCUCCAUUUGAUACGUACAAGCCACUAAGUGCUAAUUAAAUGUUGUGGUCCUUAAGUUCAUUUCCUUUGAAGGGAACUAACCAUUUUGCCACACUUAAUCAGUCCAGUAAUUUCUUUUUAAAGUCUUGUAAAGUUUGGUGUUAACGAUGUAUAAUACUUUAGGGAAAUCAGUAGGAGUGAACAAUCUUUUGUUUGUAUUUGUAUUUGAGAGUUGAAACUCUUUGAUGGGACAGAUUAUUUGAAUAAAAGUUUCAACCUUAUCUGUUAUAACAUGCCAUGAAACACAAAAAUUUCAUGGCAUAGCCAUUGUUAUUGGUCUUAAAAUAAUUGAUUUAAAAUCCAAUGAAAGUAUUAAUAGAAUCAAUGCAACAGGGCUUCAUAAAAUCUAAAAACUGAUUCCUGAGUGUUACUGAUGUUCUUGUUGGAAAAAAAAUGCUUCCUAGUAUAAAAGGACAGUCUAUGUACACAGUGUAGUGUGCAAACUAAUACAAUUUCUCGUUUAUCUAGGAUAUGAAUUGCUAAAGAUGUUGUGUUUAUACAUUUUUAUAGAUUUACUAGUAUUUUAAAUAGGGGUAUUAAUUUAAAGGAACUCUGACAUGUAUCUUUUAAGUGUGAAAAUAAUCAUGAUGUUUACAUUUUUUGAUGUGAAAAUAAUCAAAAUAAUCAUGAAAAUAAUCAUGAUUUUUACAUUUUUUGAUAUACAUGUAUUUUGGGAAUAUUAUUCAUUCCUCUAUAAUUAUGUAUUAAAAGAUACAUUUUUUAAAAGACCCACAAAGUCACUAACCAGGAGAUGUAGUGUUAUCCUUAGCAGACCUAAAGUUUAUUGGAAAUUUGGGAUCUAUUUUAACUUUCUUUUCUAAGGAAUGUCUUUUCCCAAGUGUCAUUCUUUUCAAUUCUAUCAAAUGAACGCUAACCAUGAAGAGGGAAGGGUGAAAAUAUAAAAUGAAGAAGUUUGCCUAUACUCCUUUUACAGAUGGAGAAAUUAAAACUUGAUUUUUUCGAAAGUCCCAUUUAGCAGCAGAGCACAGAUUGGAAAAUUUGGUCGGUGAUUUAUUUAGGCUCCGCAGGGAAAAUCCUGUAGGGUGUUUUCGAAUAUCCUAAAUUUAUUUUGAUUUGAGAGCUGCUUGAAGGGCAUGUCUAUCUUAAAACAGUUCUCCAUUUUCCUGAGAAAAAUUCCAGUGGAGCUAGUUGUGGGAGGUAGUCUCCCGACAAUGAACCUUUUGGGGCCAAAUAAGCACUUUAACACAACUUACUCCAUCCCUUUCCUUAAACCAAAGCCUGUCUUGCCCACUGGGCUUGUUUAGCUUUGACUGCUCAUUUUAUUUCUCUGCAGAGGCAAAGGAGACAGGAAAAAGGAGGGAAAAUAACUGAUGGCAUGUGGGUGAGGUUUUGGCUCAGGGAAUACGUUUUGAAAGAUCCUAACGAGUGUGGGGAUGGGGAAAGCAGUUGGUGUCUGAAACUCACCCCUGUUCUAGAGAUUGAGAAACAGAAACCAAGAGAGGUUAAAUAACUUGCCUGAAGUUACAUGGCACUUUCCAAUGUUGGGGUUGGUCCUGCGCACUAGGCAACUCAUUGCUUUACUAAAACAGCUGGAUAACCCAGCUUCUCUGUUGAUCAAGGUGCGCUUCUACCAUCCCUGCUCCUUUUGACUUCCCUCUUUAAUUUUUUUGAAUACUCUUUUUUAAAAUCUAAAAAAAUCAUUCUGCUUAUAAUUUCGAGUUUAGAAACUCAUUGAACAAAUAUCUUUUGACUAUUCAGGCCAUUUAGAACUAGCCAACCUGUGAGGACAGUGUGGGCCAUGUGAAGCCUUCUGCUUCCAUAUUGUUGGGAUUUUAUGUAAGUAAUGAACAUGGAACCAGAAAAGAAAAUGGCUUUAAAUAAAUUGAGUCUGAGCUCCUGGCAGAGCUCUAAACAUGAUAAAUGUGGUGGGCACCUAAUAAAAAAUAGACCUUUUUUUGAAGUCCUAAUUGCAGCUGAUCUUUGGAUUUUGAAAUUAAACAUCCGCUAAGGUUUGAUAAUUUUUCCUAAAUUGUUGUCAUUAUAUGGAUUUAGGGUGGAUAAGGGGACCAUGGUAGAAAUAUGAAUCAGUACUUUAAUCUUCCAUAAAGGGUUUAUAACUGCCCCAAACAUCCCCUCUGUUUGGACCCCAUGGGGAAAUUGCUUCUUGGCCCUAGUAUCACUCUGUCAAAGUUGUGAGUAUAUAUUGAAUUAAUUUCUCACUGAUAUAAUGAAUAUUUGCUUUAAAAAAAUAGUAAAACUUUUUUGAUGUUGAGGUGCCUGAUGAGUACUAUGGUUUACCUCUUAACGCCAUUAGUGUGGUUCUAGAUACCAAGCAAACUCAACUAGAAGAUAAGUUUUAUUUGGUUCCGAGGGACUAAUUAAAUGAAUAUACAGCAGAGCUUAGAAGUGAUGUCAUCAUAUCAGACAUGGUGCGAACAGGUCCCAGUGCACUAACAGAUCCUCUGCAUUUUUAUUAGGAAAUAUUUAAGAGUUUUGCAGAGCUCCAAAAUUCCAAUGAAAGUCAGGUAGAUGUCCUCAUAUUGACAUAUCUGCAGAUUUGGUUUCUAUUCUAAGAACUGCAGUUUGAAUUAAUUGAGGUCAGAAGCAGCUACCCAUUUGUGUCCCAUCUACUUGCAAAUAGCAGCUUGUUUCCUUUUAGGGUCUGACGAGGUGGUGGUUGAUUUCUAUAUCUUAGUAAUAAAAUCAAUGGCGGCAGCACACAUAGGCUAAUUGUUAGAAUUGUAAGGCUUUGUUAGAAAUGGAAUAUAGGCUUUUGGUAAUACUCUUAAAUUCACACCAAUUGUCAGGAAAUUAAAUAUGGUUCUUUAAGAAAUAUAUCGCAGGAGGCUUAAACUAGAUGUGGUUAAAAAAAAAAAAACCCAAAACCUCUUCACAGGCAUUUAGUUAUUUUCUACCCAAAAAAGUAAUUUUCCUUUUAUCUGUAUCUUUACUAAGCCUUUAAGAUGAAAGAGGAGAGUGACCGCCAUAGAAUGACAGUGACCUAAAAGUGUAAAAUUAGAGUUAGUGGAGUUUGUGUAAUCUUGAGGACAAAUAUAAUCCAAAAUAUUUAUCAGUGAACUCAAAGGGCAAAUGCUGCUUUCAGCAUACUGCAAAUAAAAUGCUUAAUUAAAAGUCCCUAAAAUAUAACAACUUGUUCUUAAGCGAUUACGUUGUGUCUGAAGAAAUUAAGACUGAAAAAAAAAGUUAAAAGAAAGAAAGAAGAAGCUGGUUGUGAUAAAUUUUUUCUUACAUUUAGGUACUUUUAAGAAUUGUUUUUAUUAAUUUCUAAAUUUGAGUGAGAGGGAGAUAGGCUUGGAUUAAUUGCCAUUUGAAUAGGCAGUUUCAGAUUUGUAGGCAUCUUCUGAACCAGGAUGGAAAGACCAUAGAAAAAAGUCUAGUGUGGAAAUGAUAUUUCAUGUGGUGAAACAGAAACUCAAGAAGUUUCCUGUGAUAAUAAGGUGAAAGUGGUUACCAAAGAAACAAAAGUUUCUUAUCACUCUGCCUGAGGCAAAUGUGGCAUAUUAAGCUUAAAAUGAAUUCUCCUCUCCUGAAUGCACACAACUCUUAUUAAUGUCUUGGAAAUUAUGCACACAUAGGAAAAGAGGAAUAAGAUUUUCUGGAUACAUUUGAGUAAGCAUCCAUUGGGAUAUGGGAGCUUUCUCAUGUCUAUGGCUACUUUAGCACCGAAGUGACCAAAAAUCAAUUUUUGCUAUUUUACCUUUUACUCGGGUUUAACUUUGGACUGAAUGACUUGCUUUCAUCUUAAAAGGGGCCUUUCUUUCCGUGAGAGUUAGGUUCCCUGGUGGCCUGAAAGAGUUAAUGCAGUUUCCAAGAGUGUCCAACUUACUUCCAGGGAGUAGUGCCUGCAUGUGAGAGUCUGGCUCCAGGAUAUUUGUUCACAUCCCAAAACCAAUUUGGCACAACUUAAAAUGUCUGCUAGGGAGAGGAUUCAGAGUGUUGUUAGGCCACGCAAUUAGUGCUUUAUUUCAUGAGCACCAAAUUCACCCAAUAGUGUUUUGUUUUAAAGAAGAGCUUGAAAUUCACAAUAACGGGUUUCAUUUAUCAGAGCCAUAUGGGACUCACCAUCUUUGGAUAUAUUUGUAAGGCUCUCACAAAGAAGACUCCUUAGGCAUCUCAGAUUUCACGGAUUGGAGGGCAAUCUGGAUGAAUAUCUUUUUUGGAAAUGAUGAACUAUCUUUUUCAUAUGUAGUCUCCAAUUUCAGUAAUCCUUGAGAAGCUCAAAAAAACAGGAAAGAGUUAAGUAAACCUCAGCUUAUUAGCUUUGACUGGAAAACAAAGACCAUGAUUCUUAGAUCGGUUCAAAUGCCAAGUGUACCUUUGAUGUUGAAAUUGGGCCAUCUAAUCUUUGCAGUUUGUGAUGUGGCAUUUAUGAGAGGGAAGGUGGGUUCUAAGUCUCAACCUAUUUUUGCACUUUUUGCUAGUUCUGUCAUGGUCAUAUGUCAAUGGAUCGUUGGGAAGCUAUCUGCAACAUAGCAGACUGAUAAUAGAGCAUUGUAGUUUUUUUGAUGCUUAUCCAAGAUUAUUUCUUUAUUGCCUCCUCCUUUUCCAUACUUCUCUGAUCAUUAGGGAUCUAUUUUAAUGCAAUAUAUUCUCGAAAAUGUCAAUACAAGUUGAUUUUUUUGAUAAAUCUCAUAUUUGCCUACUGAUCUGUAAAUUUAGAGAUUUAAAAAUAAAAUCAGAUUGAUCUUCAUUUGGGGGCGGUUGCUAAUACUUAAUUUUUGGUUCCUAGAUUCUGUUAAGCUAUUCAUGACCUAUAAACAAAUAUUUAAGUGUUUACUAAUUAAAAAUGAAUAUAUUUUUAAAGGAUAGAGUGCUAUUGUGUUAUGACAGGCAACCACUAUUUUUUUAGGUUUUCAAAUUUUUGUUUUCUCAGUUCUGUAGGCUUUCUUGCAAAGGGCGUACUUGAUUGUGUUUGAUAAAUCUGGUAAAUCAGAAUAUUUGUGAGUCAUAAAUAGUACUAUAACAAUUACUACUGAGUUAUAAGGUCUAUGUAAACUCCAUGAGGAUGGUAAUUUGGGUUUUAUUUUAAAUUGUUAUGGUAAGUUGGCAAUUAUUUGAAAUAAUGCUUGCUCAUCUUUAAAUACCAUUUUAUUGUAUUCAGUCUUACUUUAUUAUCCUCUAGUUUAUUUUUUAUAAAAACUUUUAACACUUCAUUUGCUAAUGAUGUUUGUAUUAUCAUGAUUUAGGUUUCCCCGAGAGUGUCCGCUAAACUUUGUUCAGUUAUGAGCAUUGUUGAAUAACAUUAAAUUAAAAUAAAAUAUACUGUAUUCUUAGCUGCUUUUAAACUUUAUAUUGAUACCAAUGUCAUAUAUUUUAAAUAUUAUUUCAUAAAGAUUUAAAAAUCUACUCCCUACCAUCCCAUUUCUUCUCUCAUCUGCGUUAUACACUACAGAAAGAGCAGUUAGACCUCUGUUACCUGGCACUCCUGUAGGGUGCACACUUGUAUUGCUAUAUGUCAUUGACCCCCGUACUUUAGGCUGAUGAGGCUGCUGGACAAUAGGUAGAACAUUGGAAUCAUAGAAUGAGCUGUAACUGCUUAAAUCAACUUGAGCUUUAAUUGUGCUAGGUGGUUGAAUGAUAUUCUGUCUAUAUUUCCUUCUUAGUCAAAUGUUCUAAAAUCAUUUAAUGAGUCAAUUGCUAAAAUACUCUUAGGAUUGUUAUAUUAUUUUUUUCCCUACAAAAAUAGAUAUUGUGACCCAAUGAGGUUAAAUGAUUUUUUCACUGAAAAAGUCAUUUUGAAACUAAACAUUCACCCGGUUUUUGGGUGAUGCCUGGUAUUUUCCAUAAGAAUUUUGAAAUAUUUUAUUUGGGAAAAAGAUAUAGUGUUGGGAUAGUAGCCAAAGGCAAAAAGAAAUGAAAGAUGGCAGAAAGACUCAGGAUAGAAUGUGUGGAUAUAGAUACAUUGGCAUUUCAUAGGUCUUUGGAUUUAGUAUAAACUGUAGGCUAUGAAGAGAAGAUAGACACAUGGAUCGAACAAGAAAAUGUGGAUGCAAUGAUCAAUAGUUAAUUUUUUUAUGAAUAUUUCUACUAAAGGACAGAUGAUUGGGGAAAGAAGGACAUAAUUUGAUGGGGUGUAUGUGUGAAUGGUAAAACAGUUGAAUGCUGAGAGGUGAGUGUGAAGAAAAGAGAUAAAGAUUAUAUGUAGUUUUGUGGCUCUAACUGUCUAGUUUUCUGCAUUUUCAUUGAGUUUCUGUGUAGGGAUGAAUGACUCCUGUAUAUAAUGUUCUUGGUAUAAAUAGAAUCCAUAAAUCAUUUGGGUUGAGAAGGAAUUUUAUUUCCUUGUGAAGAUAAACCUGUUUGAUUUUGAGGUGUGGUGAGCUAUUAUUCUUACUUUAUGGUCAGAGUAAAGUUUAUAUUGUUUUUGUUCAAAUUGUAAUAUGAGUAUAAUUACGUGGAGCAGAUGUGUGUGUGUGUAUGAGUGUGUACACUUGUAAAGAAGGACACUUUCAUUUCUGUCUCUUUGUUGAUCUGUCUCUUUCUGUUUCUCCUGUCUGCUGCUUUUUGCUUGCCAGUUUUUCUUUGUCUCGAUCAUUUUAUCAUUGAACCCAUCUGUGUAGAAAACAGAAUGACUGGUUUUCUAAUUUUUAAUGAUUUUUUAUUUUUUGUUAUUUUGUUCUCUCAACUUGUUUUCAUCUCAAGAAUUAAGGCUCAAGUAUAAGGCGUUUUAGUUCUCACAUUCAAGAGGUGUUUCUGCUUUCGUUCCCGUCCGUUUGUCCAUAUGUUUACUGGUCUCUGAUAGGCUGUGCAGUGAGACAGCAGUUUACUCUGUGCAUGUGUGUGUGUGUGAAAUUAGCUAAUUGGUGUUAGUAGAAAUAUUUUCACAUGUUUUAUAAGCAAAGUGCAGCAAGGUAUAUACAUGUAGAUAUGAUCCAGACACGCGCACGCUCACGACUGUCACUGCUCAUGCAUAGGCGCUCAGAAGUAAUUAAUGUUAAUAAGAUUUUAAUGUGCUUGUGAGAUCAUAAUGAGGAGAAAUGAAUGCUCUGAUUAGGAAAAGGUAACUGUGUGUGUGUUUUGGCUUAGAACAAGAUUUCAAUUUUUAUAAACCGCAAUUUUAGAACUUGUUUGUGAUUGCAUCAAUUGGUUUUUAUUUUCAAAUUAGAGGUCUGUUUAGCCAUUUGAAUGAUUAACCAAAUAAAUGGGUGAAACCCUGAUCAUAAGGAAUAGUGCAGGUUUUCAUUUGCAAGGCAAUGUUAGUGUACAGCAAGGCUAUGAUCAUGUCUUUUGCCAAUGAACCAUUUUUUUGUUGUUUUUUAAAAAGCUUUUUCAGAAGCUACUUGUGGAGCUAGUACUCAUUUUUAUAAAUGUAGAUGUUAUCUAUAUGUUCUGGAGACACCAGUCAGACACUGUAACAUUGUGUCUGAGAUACAUUCCUGCCAGUCAGUAAAGGUGGAUUCAGUGUCCAAAGAAUCUGUAUCAUGCUUCCUGAAAUGUUUAUGGGGAAAGAUGUAAAAUAAGCAAGAUUUUUUUUCCCUAAACAUGAUCUUUACAAAUUUUAGAGGCUUGACAUUUUUAAUGGUGAAGAAAAAUAUCUCAAAGUUAAGUAAAGAUGCUGUCUCAUCAUGGGCUCAAGUGUUGUGCAGUCAAGAGCCGCAGUAUAGACUGGCUCGAAUCCAGCUGGACACCAGGGGUCCUUCUCCACAACAAAUUUUUUGAAAAUAUUGUUUACAAACCUUUGGCAUACAUUUGCAUUAUUAUUAUUUUUUAAUUAUAGGAUGAAUCUAAAUAUCUAUUAAGGGCCCUUGCCCUGUAGCGCAUAGAAAUCACUUACGCAUUUUUUAAUAUAAGUAGUGGAUUAAGAUAUUCAAGGAUUGUAAUCUCUUUUAAAAGUAAGUAUAGUACUGAAAUGUACGAAGUCUUGGAUAUGAAUUGGGGUUUAGGGUAGUGUAGUUUAUUUCCAGCUAAAUUUUACAGACAUGGUUUAGGUUCUCCUAGGUUUCGGUUAUAUUACUACAAUCUUUCUGCUGGGGCUUAAAAAUGAUGGGGAAGAAAGAGAAGGUGUUAGAGUUUGUUCUAUUGAACAAUUCUGCAAUUUCUGUGAUUCCCAGAGGUCUGUUGGAUUUUGCUUUCCAUAGAAUCCGUAGGAAUGAUGAUUAUCUAACCAAAAGAGUCAUUUGCCUUUAACAGUGUUUAGUUGACUUUCUUGGGUCAUUGAAGCUUAGUUAGGAAAAUUUUUCCCACUUGCAGUUUGUAGAGGAAUUCAUUUAUGUUUUUCACAGUCCUUGUACAGUUUCCUAUUGUUAGUAUUCCCAUGCGGUCAUAUAUAUUUUUACAUUUUCUAUUCUGUGCCAUUGGUCUGUCUAUUCAUAUGUCAUUAUCACAUUAUUUUGAUUAGAAUAUAUUUUAAUAUCUGAAGCGUUAGGCUCCCUCCCCACCCCAGCCCUUGCUCUUCUUUUUCAAGGUUUUCCUGGCUUUUCUCACUUAUUUGUUAUUCCAAAUUAAGUUUAUAAUCAACUAGCAGAACGGGAGGGGAAAAAAAUCUGAUGGUAUCUUUAUUGGAAUUAUGAUAAAUUCACGAAUUAACAUAGGGAUAAUUAAUAUCUUUAUGAGGUUGAAUCUUCUUAUCCAAGAACUUGCUGUUCUUUCCAUUUCUUCAUAAUUUUUGUCUUUCAGAAAUGUUAUAGAGCUUUCCUUAUAGAGGUUUUAAACAUUUGUUACUAAGUUUGUUUCUUGGUGUUCUAUUCGUUUAUUUAUUUACCUGCCUACUUACUUUUUUACAUAACUUACUACCCUAAACAGUCUCCUCUUCUGUAAUAUUUACUAAAUGGCUUUUUGUUUCUAUAUAGGAGCUAUUGAUUUUUGUAUGUUAAUUUUGGCAAACUCCCGCUUUGCAAAAUUCUUUUAUUGUCUGUGGUAGCCUGAUGGCUUUGAAGCCCCAUUCUAGCACAGUGCUCGGUAUCUCUGAGACCAUGGACAAGUUAUUCUGAGCCAUUUUUCUUAUCUGUAAAGUCCCCAGAUAAGAAAACCAAACUCCUAGACUGAUGGAGAGUAAAUGAGAUCAUAUAGUAAAGCAGCUAAUAUUUUGCCCAGCACAUAGUAGGCACUCGAUUACUGAUAUCCAUUACUAAUGUAACGCAAUAUAUGACAUGUUAUUCUUGUCUUGUAAUAUGUUAUUUUCAUUAUUAUUCUUAAAAUCUGGCUACUGAACUAUAGAAUUAUUGAAGGUUUAUCGUAUCAGAGUUUUUACUUCAAGAAUGGAGUGAAUUAAAGAAAUGAAAAAAACUUAAACUUUCUGAUUAACUUUGUGAUUUAAGACACUAGGGACUGAAGAUUAAUUCUGAGAUUAGGGCGUUUUGUAGUUUUGCACAUAUAUUUCCAUUACUUUUGUUUUAAUUAUGAUUAUUGCAUGCAAGACUCCUUAGCUCUGGAGAGUAAGUGGAGGGAACGUCUUGAUCACCUAGAGUGAAUAUUCAAAGCAAUUUCUUGAGUGCAUUGAUUCUAGUGCUCGCUAGCUACGUAAGUGGAUGUGAGCAUCUAAUUUAAAGUUCUGUAACCAUUAUGUUCUCCCUCAAAAAUCUGCAACUUUGCUACGUUUUCUUAGUAAACAAUGUACUAACUUGUGAAUGAACUUGUGCAGAAUAAGUAUUAGACAUAUAUGAACUCAUGAUGAUAUUGAUGUAAGCAGAAUAAUAGUGCUUGCCAGCCCAUUAUGUAACACUUUUGAUAAAGUUGGUGAAAAAACAAUAAUUGAUAAAAAUGUAGUCCAGUGUAGUAGUCUCAUGAUUUUUAAGCUUCACUCUAAUUUAAUAAAAUGGAUGCUAACUUUGCAAAUACACUCUUAAUUCAUCUGAAAUAUCUAUUGUUAGAAAUGAGAAUGCCAGAGUUUCAGGUGGGCUCCUCUCAUUCCUGACUCGUGGUUGUUGUGAGGGUUUACUGAGAUAAUGCAUUAGCAUUAUAAUGUCAUUAAUUAUAAUGAUAAUGCAGGUGCCUGGCUCAUGGUAAGUGCUUGAAAAUGGUAGUUGUUUCUAUUGCUGUUAUUUUAUUAUUACCUUUGCUAGUUCUUCACUCCCACUCUCACACACAUAUUGUCCUCAUAUAUAUAUUCUUACUAGUAGUAUUGUUCUAUGCUUAGAAUAUAUGAAUGAACUAUGUCUCAUAAUGUUCAUUUACAAAUAUAAAAUUACAUAUAUAUCAUUUGCCAAUAUUGAAAUUAGCUCAGAGUGAAGUAAGACUCCAUCAUUGGAGCCUGUGAAAGCUUAGUUGCUUGUGGAUGAAAUUUUGUGGAGCUGCAAAGGUGAAGAAUAACUUCUCUCAAAGAAUUAUAGAUACAUUUUGUCCAGUUUGAAAUCUCCCAGAGUUCUGGCUUAGCACUCAGUGUAAUUACUCCUCCACAGCCACAUGGUGCCCCUUUGUUCAUUCUUUCAUGUGGAGGACAACAUAGAGUACCUGUUAGGUAUAAAACAUUGUUCUGGGUAGUAUGAGAUGUACAAAUAGUGAGAUUAGUUAGACGAACUGUCUCUAUUCAAGAAGUCUGGUAAACGAUUCAGAGAGGAGACAACUAGGUAAUGUGCAAGGACUUUGGGGCAAGAGUAUUUGGUUUGAAUCCCUGCUCUGAAACUUACUAGUUGUGUAACUUUAGUCAAGUUAUUUAGCCUAUCUGUGUUUCAGUUUCCUUACUUACAAAAUGGGGCUGAAAAUAAUACCUACUGUAUAGGAUUGUCCUGAGGAUUAAAUGAUUUGGUACAUGCACGGCAUUUAGAGCAAUAACAUAGUAAGCACUCAAUAAAUGUUGGUUAACGUUAAUGUAAUUAUUAGAUGAAGCAAAAUAAAAUUAAUGCCAUAAAACAAUAAAAACAAAGUAAUACAGUAUUAUACAGGAUGAUAAUACUAAUUUUUAUUGUAGCUGGGAGCAGUGAAAUGAAGGGAGCUUUAUGGUUGAAGUAAUGUUUAAACUGAAAACUUGAAGUGCGAUUUCUAUAGGGCGAGGAAGAGUAGAAGAGCAGGGGUGAGUUGAUUUCUAGGCUGAGGGAAUCGCCCAAGCAAAGAUUUAAAGGUGAUAGAGAAACGGAAAUGAAAACUUCUGUGGAUUCUGCAGUCAGAAAGACUCAUAUCUGAAGCCCAGCUCCACUCCUUGUUAUCCGUGUGACCCUGGGCAAGUCAGGCUCUCUUUGGGUCCUUCCUGCCCGAGAUGCGGUCUGGUGGAUCUCUCUAGGCAGUAAGCUACAGCAAUUAUGGAGCUGACCUUGUCAUGUGCUGCCUGUUGUUGGACAUAUGUAAGCCAUUAUUUUGUCUAGUUUUUAGUUGUUUAACGCAGGAGGCUAAGUCUUGUUUCUGUUACUCCAUCAUUUUCGGAAGCAGAAGACCAACAUCUUACUUUCGCUUUUCUCCUCAUUGAGCUUGGGACUUAUCGUCUCAUGCUGUCAGCACCUGUAGUUAGUUACCUUUUUUGUACUCACUACACUGCAUUACAAUUUAUAGUUUCUUAUCUGCCUCCUCGCUACACUGGCUUCUUCGAGAAUGGGGAGUCUAUCUGGUUCAUCUUUAUCACCACUACCAACCCACUACUCUGUUUGGAGUCUGGAACAUAGCAGGCAGUUAAUGAAUGCCUUUUACAUUCAAUUUAAUUACUGUGAAUUGUAGUUUAGUGCCAUACUGUGAAAGACUUUGAAUGCUAUACUAGAGUUUGGAUUUAAUCAAUAAACCACUCAGGAUUUUUGAGGAGGUGAGAGAAAUUCCCAGGGCCUUUAUUGUUUUUCAAAGACGAUAACUCUAGAAACAUAAAGAUGAAUGACAGAUGUUAGAGGUUGAAAAUAGAUGACUUAGGAUUCUAGGAAUAAUAGUGGGACUAGAAAGGGAGCAUUGACAGGAUCUGGUGAUUAUUUGGUUGGGUGCCACUAAAAGGGAUGGUGAGAAAAAUGAUGACUCAGAUUUUCAGAAAUGGUUGAUCAAUUUCUUUAGAAUGAAAUAUUAGGUUUUUUGUCUUCUUUGGCACCAAAAUGAAGGAUUGGAGUAUAAAAAUUUGAGAGUAAAAUUUCACAAUGUAAAGAAGUAAUUAAUGGUAGAGAUUUAUCUAAAUUAUGUUUUAGUUUUUUACUAGAAUAAAGCUUGAAUUUAAAGUAUUUUAUAAUUCUUCGGGGAAAUGAAUCAUGAGUUUUAUUUUAUCGUGUAGGGAUAAUUUUCUAUUGUACUACAAAUAUCAAUGUCUUUCUUUAUAUACAUUUUUCCUCAGUAUAAUCCAUUUUAUUUGGAUGCUACAUUUCUAUAUAUUUUUCUUUCCCUGUUAGUUUUUAGUUUUUUUCUGAAAGAUUGCUUCUUUUUAGUCUUUAGAAUAUGCUGGUAAUGGACUCAGGGCUAAAAGUUCAUUUUGUGUGGUUGAAUGGGCUAGUACCUGUAGAAUGACCUUGAGUGAGAAUAAUUUUUCUCAAAUAUAUUUUAACUUUGAUUUUGUAGUAUCAAUUUUCAUCCAAAUUGUCUUCUCUUUUUGAGAGACGUUAGAAGAGCUGCUGAGAGUAGAAGCGUGGUAGAAGUAGGGGAACAAGAAACAUUAAAACAAUUAUGGAAACCCUCCCAUGCCAAACCUUUAUGUAUAAAAUAUAGGAGUAACUAUUGGAAAAAGUUAAACACUUGUAACAAGAACUUGUUUAUAGUGGUCUGAAGGAAGUUAAUUACAACUAAUGGACUGAAUAUGUGAAAAGGAGAUAUUUCUCCCAAGGAGUUCUAUUCACUUUGGCGUAAUCCUCUAAGGAAAUAAUGUUUCGUGUAAAGUGUGAUCUAACCUGAGAAAAAUGACACAAUGUUUGAAUCAGUAAUAACAUCCUGACAAGGUAGGGUAAUAUUUUUUAUAUUAUAUCCCAUUUCUCAUUUCAGUUUCUUACGUGAACUAUGUGUUACUCCUGUUACAGAGAAUGACAGGCAGUGACUACCAUUUAUUGAAUCACCCUUUGUGCUGGUAACUGAACUGUGAGGGGCUAAAACCAUGAGUAAACGACUGAAAAAAAAGAAAAUGAAUCCACAAGCAUAAGGAAGAGGAAGCAAUAGAUGAAAGAAAUAUAAUUUUUGGAAGAUGUAAAGGAUGUAAAGGAUGGAGGAAUUCACAGAACUGAGAAAGCUAAAUACAAGUGCCUGGAGUGUGUUGUGCCAGUGAGAAAGCAAGCCAGUUCAUGCUCAAGAUCUGGCUCAAAAAUUGGAGGCAGCACUUCCUGUGGAAGACAAUAGCUGAAGUAAAAAUAAAUUAUAAUUAGUAUACUCAGAGAGAUAGGAGAAGAUAGUACUCCCAUGAAAUAUGACAGGAUGAUAUAAAAAAGGAAUAAUCAGAGAAUAAACAUUCAUAAUAGCUGAAAUAACUUUAAUAGAAGGAUUGAAAUUUUUCUGAAAAUAGAGCAAAAGGUCAAAUAAGUGGAAAAUAGGAAAGAAAAGAUAAAAGCAAACAGUCUAACAAGCCAAAAAUUUGAUUAAUAGGAGUAAACCGGGAAGAGAAAAGAAAAUGAUAGGGAAGAGAUUAUCAUAAAAUUCUAUAGUAAAAACUUUCAUAACUGAAGGACAUGAGCUUCCAGUUUGAAAGGGUCUACUGGGUGCCCAUAAAAAGUGUAAAGCAGAUCUAUAUCAAAGUACAUAACUGGAAAAUUUCAGAACACCAGCAAUAUAUAAUGAAAUAGAAGCUUCUAGAGAGAAAAUAUAAACCCUACAUGCACAUUGCCUCUAGAAUCAGAAUGAUGUCUGAUCUCUUAAUGGCAACAUUCAAAGCUAGAAAAUGUGGCUUUAAAAUUCUGAGGGAAAAUUACUUUUAACUUGUAGUUCCAAACUGUUGAUCAGGCAUGAGGAUAUUUUUAGAAAAAAGACAUUUUUAGACA
rnacentral:lncRNA from 1 species